GAGCUGUCAGCAGUGCUAGCAGCUGGGCCUCAUUUGGCUGGAGUUGGCAGAAUAUUCCUCAAGAGAGGGACAGACCUCUCUCCCCCAAUGCAUUUCUGCAGAACAUUCUGUAUGUGACAGUCUGGCCUCUUUUGCCCUGAACCAACCUAAGAUCUUCAGUAAACUGAGGCAGUUAAUGAUGCAUCACAAUGUAAAGCUGCUCUUUAAAAGCCCUGGACAAAAAAAAAGCAGCAACUGGUGGUUCUACAGCAAGAGAAGGACUAAAUGAAAGUGCAGCAGAUGUGUUUAUUGUAUCAAAGUCAUCAAGGACAGCAGAUACAAGCAGAACAAAGCAUCGCCGUUAGUACGUACCAUUGCCUUGGACCUACUCAGAGGGAAGCAAUGCAGGCAUUGGGAAAGGAGGAAAAAAGGAAGAAAGCAAGGGACAGAAACUAGACUUACUUUAAGCAGAACUAACACAAUUGCAACAAAUUUAGAUUUACAGAACAUUUCUUAAUUGACCAAAAAAAAAAAAAAAUCAGUAAUGAAUUAAGAGCAACAUGCUUUUGGGGGCAGCAGGAGCCUCCUGUGCAAGGACACUGAACUGGGGAUGUGCAGUUUUACUUAUCUGCCACAGGAUGGGAUUAUCUGCAUGGGCCAGGUGACAGUGUUGGAAUGAGGUGAUGCUAAAGGGGCUCCAGUGAAUGUGCAGGUGGACUGAGAGAGCAAUGCACUGCAAUACACAGUGAGAGUUACAAAGUGUGCUUGUCUGAAGCUGAAUGUUGGUAAGCAAUGAGUGCUGGAGCAAGUGAAGAACUUCUGAACACAAAGGUAACUACAUUUCAAUGCUCAAGGUAAACCAGGGCAAGAAUAACAAAUUGGGGGCUUAAUCCUCAUUAGAUCACAGUAUUUUGAGCAAGAUUUUACUUUUCCUUUCAGCAUUAACUGGGAGCUGCAUUCAGCAAUUAAUAAUUAUGCAUUUACAUCCUUCCAUACCUGUUAGAAGGAAAUAAAGCAGGAAAAGGUAAAAUGAGGUGAACUUUCGUGGCUGAAGGAGUGUCAGUAGCUAACAGAAAAAACUCACACCAAUAGGAAGCCAAAGCUAGGCUGUGUCAGAGAUCUGAGACAGGCUUAAGUGGCAUGCAAGUUGGAGAGGGGCUGAGAGUUAGAAUUAAAAUUGCUCUUAUUACAUAUAGCGCAUUUUAUAC